AUGUAGAUUCCUACAUCGUAGCAUUAAUGCCCCAUAUCCCAUUAGAACUCCGCAGUUAAGCAUGCUUAGUAUAGAGUAGUACUGGGAUGGGUGAUUGCCCAAGAAGUCCUAGUAUUUUACAUG
rnacentral:rRNA from 1 species